rnacentral:rRNA from 1 species
AGAGUUUGAUCCUGGCUCAGAUUGAACGCUGGCGGCAUGCUUUACACAUGCAAGUCGAGCGGCAGCGCGGGGGCAACCCUGGCGGCGAGCGGCGAACGGGUGAGUAAUGCAUCGGAACGUACCCUGGAGUGGGGGAUAACGCCGCGAAAGCGGCGCUAAUACCGCAUAUGCUCUGAGGAGGAAAGUGGGGGACCGCAAGGCCUCACGCUCUGGGAGCGGCCGAUGUCCGAUUAGCUAGUUGGUGGGGUAAAGGCUUACCAAGGCGACGAUCGGUAGCUGGUCUGAGAGGAUGAUCAGCCACACUGGGACUGAGACACGGCCCAGACUCCUACGGGAGGCAGCAGUGGGGAAUUUUGGACAAUGGGGGCAACCCUGAUCCAGCCAUGCCGCGUGAGUGAAGAAGGCCUUCGGGUUGUAAAGCUCUUUUGGUCGGGAAGAAAGCGCCUUGCCUAAUACGCGAGGUGGUUGACGGUACCGGCAGAAUAAGCACCGGCUAACUACGUG